UUAUGCUUGUUGUUUGAGGAAAAUUAUCAAAAGAGCUUGACCAAGAUUAAACAAUUACUGGUAUCAUGAAUCAUGCCAUUUUUGUCUUGUCUGCAACUGAUUGUAUAGUGUACAUGUCUGUCUGGGCAGGGUUCAUCUUACCAUGACCUGAUAUUCAUGGUUCAUUGGUCAAUAAUAAGUUUCAUAUUUUGGUCUGUUUGUUGUAUACUAUAUACAAGCU
rnacentral:lncRNA from 1 species